rnacentral:rRNA from 1 species
AUUAUUAAGCGGUGGAAAAGAAACUAACUAGGAUUCCUUUAGUAGCUGCGAGCGAACAAGGAUAAGCCCAGCACCGAAUCCCGCGUCUAAAUUAAUGGACGUUAGGAAAUGUGGUGUUAGGGAGGAUACAUUAUCCCAAGAUAUUUAUAACGUGUCCAAGUCCUUCUUGAACGAGGCCAUUGUCCAUAGAGGGUGCCAGGCCCGUAUAGACCGUUAAAUAUCAUGGGAGUAUCUCUCCUAAGAGUCGGGUUGCUUGAGAGUGCAGCCCUAAGUGGGUGGUAAACUCCAUCUAAGGCUAAAUAUUACCACGAGACCGAUAGCGAACAAGUACCGUGAGGGAAAGUUGAAAAGCACUUUGAAGAGAGAGUUCAAUAGUACGUGAAACCGUUUAGGGGUAAACCUGAGAAACCCGAAAGGUCGAAGGAAGAAAUUCAUUCGUGAAUCACCAUUGACAGAAUUGUGUAUGUUAGACAAUAUAUAUAUGGAACUGAUUAUUCUAUUAAUUUAGGAUAAUUGGAUUUAUUUUCUUUUUAUUGCUACAUAUCUAUUUUGAUUCUGAUAGUGAACACGUGCAUUUUUCUUCUGGUAGGACGUCGCGAUCCGUUAGGAUAAAUUUUUAUCGGUCUAUGAUAUAUGGUUAUAGUUCAUUGAUACAUGUAUAAUUUUUAUUGUAUAUGAUAAUAUUAAUGAAUCUAUAUAUUCUGGCUGAUUUACCUGACGGUAUAGUGAAUGGUUAAGGGUCGCUUGCUAUAURGCGUUAGAGGUUAGACAAGUGUAGUAAUUGUUAAAAAACAUUAUUAUUAUUAUUUUUAUAAUGAUAAUGAUAGUGUUGGUCGGUAAUCGGUAUUUAUAUCAAUUCCGAGCUAUUAUUAUACUGUUGGUCURGCAUAUCUCUGACUGACCUUAUUAUUUUUUUUUUAAAAAGUAAUACCAAUCA